rnacentral:misc_RNA from 1 species
AGCAAAAUUGAAUGAGGUCUUACAGAAGUUCACAUCUUUGGAAGUUGAACUGGAAGAAAAAAGCAACUGUUGUGAAGAACUAGAAGCUACUUGCCUAGAGCUUCAACUCCAGCUAGAAAGUGUUGCAAAGAAGGAAUCUCUGAACUACAGCAUAAAUGAAGAUGGAGCACAAAACCAAAAUGGAUCGGAGAUCACUGCAGCUUCUUUAAAGUUGGCUGAAUGCCAAGAGACCAUCCUUAACCUUGGAAAACAACUAAAGGCACUGGCUACACCAAGGGAAGCAGCUUUGUUUGACAAAGUAUUCAAUACCAAUGGUUCCACCGCAACUGCCAC